AGAGUUUGAUCCUGGCUCAGAACGAACGCUGGCGGCGUGCCUAACACAUGCAAGUCGUACGAGAAAAUCCGCUUCGGCGGGUGAGUAAAGUGGCGCACGGGUGAGUAACGCGUGGAUAAUCUGCCUUUAAGCGGGGAAUAACUUACCGAAAGGUGGGCUAAUACCCCAUAAAGCUAUGGAGCUCCGGUUUUCAUAGCCAAAGAGAGCCUCUGCAUGCAAGCCCUCACUUAGAGAUGAGUCCGCGUACCAUUAGCUAGUUGGUGGGGUAAUGGCCUACCAAGGCGACGAUGGUUAGCUGGUCUGAGAGGAUGAUCAGCCACACUGGAACUGAGACACGGUCCAGACUCCUACGGGAGGCAGCAGUGAGGAAUAUUGCGCAAUGGGGGCAACCCUGACGCAGCAACGCCGCGUGAGUGAGGAAGGUUUUCGGAUCGUAAAGCUCUGUCGGGUGGGAAGAAAUGUAUGGAGGUUAACAGCCUUUGUACUUGACGGUACCGCCAAAGGAAGCACCGGCUAACUCCGUGCCAGCAGCCGCGGUAAUACGGGGGGUGCUAGCGUUGUUCGGAAUCAUUGGGCGUAAAGAGCGUGUAGGCGGCUAGGCAAGUCAGAUGUGAAAUCCCUGGGCUUAACCCAGGACGUGCAUUUGAAACUGCUUGGCUUGAGUAGGGAAGAGGGAAGUGGAAUUCCUGGUGUAGAGGUGAAAUUCGUAGAUAUCAGGAGGAACACCGGUGGCGAAGGCGACUUCCUGGUCCUAUACUGACGCUGAGACGCGAGAGCGUGGGGAGCAAAAAGGAUUAGAUACCCUGGUAGUCCACGCCGUAAACGA
rnacentral:rRNA from 1 species